UUUUUUUCGAGUUGGGAUUGCUGUGCCUCAUUUUUGAAGUCGGCUUUUCCUUUGCCAGGUCUAUGUCAUUUCACAACCUCUUGAAAUGCAUCUAGAAUGUUGAAUCAGGUCCAAUUUUGUACCUAUAAAGUUAAAUAUACAACUUUCAGCAACGGAUCUCUUGGCUCUCGCAUCGAUGAAGAACGCAGCGAAAUGCGAUAAGUAAUGUGAAUUGCAGAAUUCAGUGAAUCAUCGAAUCUUUGAACGCACCUUGCGCUCCUUGGUAUUCCGAGGAGCAUGCCUGUUUGAGUGUCAUUUAAAGUUCUCAACCACAUUCUCAUCAAUGGGAUGUGGCUUGGAUGUGGGGGUCGUUUUGCAGGCUUCUCUGAAGUCUGCUCCCCUGAAAUGCAUUAGUGGUAUCUGAGCUACUACAGAUGUGAUAAUUAUCUACAUCAAAGUAUGCUGCACACCGCUUCCCUAACGAGUUUUGAAAUCUGAUGAAUUUGACCUCAAAUCAGGU
rnacentral:rRNA from 1 species